UACGAAGGGGGCUAGCGUUGCUCGGAAUCACUGGGCGUAAAGGGUGCGUAGGCGGGUCUUUAAGUCAGGGGUGAAAUCCUGGAGCUCAACUCCAGAACUGCCUUUGAUACUGAAGAUCUUGAGUUCGGGAGUGGUGAGUGGAACUGCGAGUGUAGAGGUGAAAUUCGUAGAUAUUCGCAAGAACACCAGUGGCGAAGGCGGCUCACUGGCCCGAUACUGACGCUGAGGCACGAAAGCGUGGGGAGCAAACAGG
rnacentral:rRNA from 1 species